CUUCCUCUCGCGCUUGGUAUCCGCUGCCUCUUUACCCCUUCCCCUCCUUAUUGUCCCCCUCAUGCCUUUCUAGGCUCACGCACUCUCUAAAUGUUUCUUAGAUACGUCCGCACUACAUUUCCAUCACCCCUCACUCCUGUGGUCUCACACUUUGACCUCCUUAAUUCUUGUUAAUUCACUUUGGUUUCCCCUGCGCAGUCUCUGCAAACAGCAAGUUAAUUUGUACCUCUCAGACUUGCGAGAAUAAAAUGAGACAACGUAUGACAAGCACUGACAAAAACACUUGGCACAUGUCAUCUGUAGCACUAUUUGUAAAUAGUCUGGACUCAGUGGAACCUGCUGUCUUAUGAAUAUAAUAUUUUUAACAAGACAGAAACAUGUUCAAAAGUUUGUGUAAAAUUUUAUGAUAUAGCAAGUGAAGAUCGAAAGAAAAGGCUGGAUUUUUUGAAGAAAGGAACACAGCUGAAUUAUCAACGUCACUGGAAAACAAACAUAUCAAGUGGGAUUCUAGAUGGGAUUACAUUUUGGAGUCUAUGCCUCAUCCCCACAUCCAGUGGCUUAGGUAAGCACUUUAUGAAAUAAAGAAUAAGCAGCUUCAUGGAGUUCCUGUUGUGGCUCAGUGGUUAACGAAUCUGACCGGCGUCAAUGAGGAUGCAGUUUCGAUCCCUUGCCAUGCCCAGUGGGUUAAGGAUCAAGUGUUGCUGUGAGCUGUGGUGUAGGUCGCAGAUGGGCUUGGAUCCUUUGUUGCUGUGGCUGUGAACUUCCAUAGGUCUUGGGUGUGGCC
rnacentral:lncRNA from 1 species